GGCCAAGUUUUUAAGGGCGCACGGUGGAUGCCUUGGCACCAGGAACCGAUGAAGGACGUGGGAGGCCGCGAUAGUCCCCGGGGAGUCGUCAACCAGGCUUUGAUCCGGGGGUUUCCGAAUGGGGAAACCCGGCAGUCGUCAUGGGCUGUCACCCACUGCUGAACACAUAGGCAGUGUGGAGGGAACGAGGGGAAGUGAAACAUCUCAGUACCCUCAGGAAGAGAAAACAACCGUGAUUCCGGGAGUAGUGGCGAGCGAAACCGGAUGAGGCCAAACCGUAUGCGUGUGAGACCCGGCAGGGGUUGCGCAUGCGGGGUUGUGGGAUCUCUCUUUCACAGUCUGCCGGCUGUGAGACGAGUCAGAAACCGUUGAUGUAGGCGAAGGACAUGCGAAAGGUCCGGCGUAGAGGGUAAGACCCCCGUAGUCGAAACGUCAGCGGCUCGUUUGAGAGACACCCAAGUAGCACGGGGCCCGAGAAAUCCCGUGUGAAUCUGGCGGGACCACCCGCUAAGCCUAAAUAUUCCCUGGUGACCGAUAGCGGAUAGUACCGUGAGGGAAUGGUGAAAAGUACCCCGGGAGGGGAGUGAAAUAGUACCUGAAACCGUGUGCCUACAAGCCGUGGGAGCGUCGGAUGCAGCUUGCUGUAUCUCGUGACUGCGUGCCUUUUGAAGAAUGAGCCUGCGAGUUUGCGGUGUGUUGCGAGGUUAACCCGGGUGGGGAAGCCGUAGCGAAAGCGAGUCCGAACAGGGCGAUUCAGUAGCACGCUCAAGACCCGAAGCGGAGUGAUCUAGCCAUGGGCAGGUUGAAGCGGAGGUAAGACUUCGUGGAGGACCGAACCCACCAGGGUUGAAAACCUGGGGGAUGACCUGUGGUUAGGGGUGAAAGGCCAAUCAAACUCCGUGAUAGCUGGUUCUCCCCGAAAUGCAUUUAGGUGCAGCGUCGUGUGUUUCUUGCCGGAGGUAGAGCACUGGAUAGGCGAUGGGCCCUACCGGGUUACUGACCUUAGCCAAACUCCGAAUGCCGGUAAGUGAGAGCGCGGCAGUGAGACUGUGGGGGAUAAGCUCCAUGGUCGAGAGGGAAACAGCCCAGAGCAUCGACUAAGGCCCCUAAGCGUACGCUAAGUGGGAAAGGAUGUGGAGUCGCACAGACAACCAGGAGGUUGGCUUAGAAGCAGCCACCCUUGAAAGAGUGCGUAAUAGCUCACUGGUCUAGUGAUUCCGCGCCGACAAUGUAGCGGGGCUCAAGCGUACCGCCGAAGUCGUGUCAUUGCAGCAUAUAGCCCCAACGGGUGCUGUGAUGGGUAGGGGAGCGUCGUCUGCCGGGUGAAGCGGCACCGGAAGGUAGUCGUGGACGGUUGACGAGUGAGAAUGCAGGCAUGAGUAGCGAUACAAACGUGAGAAACGUUUGCGCCGAUUGACUAAGGGUUCCUGGGUCAAGCUGAUCUGCCCAGGGUAAGUCGGGACCUAAGGCGAGGCCGACAGGCGUAGUCGAUGGAUAACCGGUUGAUAUUCCGGUACCCGCUGUGAAGCGUCAAACAUCGAGCAUCGUGAUGCUAAGGCCGUGAAGCCGCCCCGGAGCCUUCGGGCAAAGGGGAGUGGUGGAGCCGCCGGACCAAGCGGUUAGUAGGUGAGUGAUGGGGUGACGCAGGAAGGUAGUCCAUCCCGGGCGGUGGUUGUCCCGGGGUAAGGGUGUAGGACGGUGUGUAGGCAAAUCCGCACAUCAUGUGUCUGAGACCUGAUGCCGAGCCGAUUGUGGUGAAGUGGAUGAUCCUAUGCUGUCGAGAAAAGCCUCUAGCGAGUUUCAUGGCGGCCCGUACCCUAAACCGACUCAGGUGGUCAGGUAGAGAAUACCGAGGCGUUCGGGUGAACUAUGGUUAAGGAACUCGGCAAAAUGCCCCCGUAACUUCGGGAGAAGGGGGGCCAUUCCUGGUGAUGAUCUUUACGGUCUGAGCUGGGGGUGGCCGCAGAGACCAGCGAGAAGCGACUGUUUACUAAAAACACAGGUCCGUGCGAAGCCGUAAGGCGAUGUAUACGGACUGACGCCUGCCCGGUGCUGGAACGUUAAGGGGACCGGUUAGCUCACUUUCGGGUGGGCGAAGCUGAGAACUUAAGCGCCAGUAAACGGCGGUGGUAACUAUAACCAUCCUAAGGUAGCGAAAUUCCUUGUCGGGUAAGUUCCGACCUGCACGAAUGGCGUAACGACUUCUCGACUGUCUCAACCAUAGGCCCGGUGAAAUUGCACUACGAGUAAAGAUGCUCGUUUCGCGCAGCAGGACGGAAAGACCCCGGGACCUUUACUACAGUUUGAUAUUGGUGUUCGGUUCGGCUUGUGUAGGAUAGCUGGGAGACUGUGAAGCUUGGACGCCAGUUCAGGUGGAGUCGUCGUUGAAAUACCAGUCUGGUCGUGCUGGAUGUCUAACCUGGGUCCGUGAUCCGGAUCAGGGACAGUGUCUGAUGGGUAGUUUAACUGGGGCGGUUGCCUCCCAAAGGGUAACGGAGGCGCCCAAAGGUUCCCUCAGCCUGGUUGGCAAUCAGGUGUUGAGUGUAAGUGCACAAGGGAGCUUGACUGUGAGACCGACGGGUCGAGCAGGGACGAAAGUCGGGACUAGUGAUCCGGCGGUGGCUUGUGGAAGCGCCGUCGCUCAACGGAUAAAAGGUACCCCGGGGAUAACAGGCUGAUCUUCCCCAAGAGUCCAUAUCGACGGGAUGGUUUGGCACCUCGAUGUCGGCUCGUCGCAUCCUGGGGCUGGAGUCGGUCCCAAGGGUUGGGCUGUUCGCCCAUUAAAGCGGUACGCGAGCUGGGUUUAGAACGUCGUGAGACAGUUCGGUCCCUAUCCGCUGUGCGCGUAGGAGUCUUGAGAAGGGCUGUCCCUAGUACGAGAGGACCGGGACGGACGAACCUCUGGUGUGCCAGUUGUUCUGCCAAGGGCAUGGCUGGUUGGCUACGUUCGGGAGGGAUAACCGCUGAAAGCAUCUAAGCGGGAAGCCUGCUUCGAGAUGAGGACUCCCACCCACUUGAUGGGGUAAGGCUCCCAGUAGACGACUGGGUUGAUAGGCCAGAUAUGGAAGCCUGGUAACGGGUGGAGUUGACUGGUACUAAUAGGCCGAGGGCUUGUCC
rnacentral:rRNA from 1 species